UCUAAUUAUGUAGAUCAACAUUAGGGCUGUAAUCUAACUAUACGAUCUAUCUCCUUCCAAUUAUCAGCGUACCCGGGUAGUCUUUCCAAUAUAUAAAAUAUAUUGUAUUCCAUCGAUAAUUGAUCAGCUUCCUUAAGUAUAUAACUUAAGUAUUCCAACAAGUAAUAAUUCCAUGAUAAUCAUGUAAAGUAAUUUCAUGUAUAAAUACAUGUAUUAUUCCAUAAUGAGGUAUUCCGAAUAUUAGCCAUUCCUAUUAUUUGAAUAUACUUGCAGUACACAUAAUUCCAAGAGAGGCGACCGAGUUAAGGCGAAGCGGAGCGGGCCACGGAGC
rnacentral:lncRNA from 1 species